rnacentral:rRNA from 1 species
UACGUAGGGAGCGAGCGUUGUCCGAAGUUACUGGGCGUAAAGCGCGCGUAGGCGGGUUUGAAAGUCGGAGGUGAAAUCCCUCGGCUCAACUGAGGAACUGCCUUUGAAACUGUGGAGCUUGAGGCCGGGAGGGGGUAGCGGAAUUCCCAGUGUAGCGGUGAAAUGCGUAGAUAUUGGGAGGAACACCAGUGGCGAAGGCGGCUACCUGGACCGGAACUGACGCUGAUGCGCGAAAGCGUGGGUAGCAAACAGG